UACUUAAGUAGUAGUAGCUAUGUUCUUGAAACUUAAAAAAUUUGGCGGUAUUUUAGUCUAUCCAGAGGAACCUGUUUUGUAAUCGAUAAUCCACGAUGGACCUUACUUAAGUUUGUAAUCAGUUUAUAUACCGUCGUUAUCAGAAUAUUUUAUAAGAAUAAAAAUAUUCAAUAAUUUAUAUUAAAAUUUAUAUCAGAUCAAGGUGUAGCUUAUAUUUAAGUAAUAAUGGGUUACAAUAAAAAUAUUUAAACGAAUAAAAUAAUGAAAAAAUUUUUGAAGGUGGAUUUGGUAGUAAAAUUAUAAAGAUUAAUAAUUUGAUUUUAGCUCUAAAAUAUGUACACAUCGCCCGUCGCUCUUAUUAUUAAGGUAAGAUAAGUCGUAACAUAGUAGAUGUACUGGAAAGUGUAUCUAGAAUGA
rnacentral:rRNA from 1 species